CAGUCACGGAGCGGUCGAGACCCGGUUGCACCGGGCUUCCCAAGUCGCAGCCUCUGAGCCGCAGGAGCGCCACGAAGCAGAGACCAUCUAUGCUUGUGCGGUGGCCGGCAAGAACGACAAAAAUUGGCCUAAAGGCGGCUAAACAAAAUGUGCGGGAGCCUUAAAACAAGCCAAUUCCCUCUCGUGAGGAACGAUCGGGGAAAUGGCAUGUACGCAAGUGUGCCGGUGCCUGCAGAAGCCAGAAGACAGCGUCAGAUCCCCUGGAGCUGUUUGCACCUAACAUAGGUGCUGUGAACAGAACUCGGGGUCCUUCGGGAGAGCAGCAAGCAUCCUUAGCCAUCGAGCCCUCUUCCCAGCCCCGUGUUUCUUUCCCACACACCCCUACAGUUCUACAGUUCGAAUCAAAUGAUGACUUGUUUCUGUGAACUGUAAUUGGAUUUCCGUUGUCAUGGGGCUGUUGGGUUGUGUAUUA